AAAGGUAGGGUUGAGAUUUUUCUUGCUUCUUGGGGUAGUCCUGUAUUGUUAUAAACUUCCCUGUUAGAACCACUUUUGUUGCAUCCCAGAGAUUUUGGACAAUUUUGUUUUCAUUUUCAUUUGUUUCCAUGUAAUUUUUUAUUUCUUCUUUGUUUUCCUGGCUGACAUAUUCAAUGUUUAAUAGUAUGUUAUUUAACGUCCAUGU